rnacentral:sRNA from 1 species
AUCAUUAUCGAAUUAUAAGCGAGGGUUGUAGCUGGCCUCCCUUUCGAGGCAUGUGCACGCCUGAGCUCUUAAAUCCACAACACACCUGUGAACCCACCGUAGGCCUUCGGGCUUAUGUAUCAUAUACUCUGAAUGUGUCAUAGAAUGUUCAUGUUGCCUUAAAACGCAAUCAAAUACAACUUUCAACAACGGAUCUCUUGGCUCUCGCAUCGAUGAAGAACGCAGCGAAAUGCGAUAAGUAAUGCGAAUUGCAGAUUUUCAGUGAAUCAUCGAAUCUUUGAACGCACCUUGCGCUCCUUGGUAUUCCGAGGAGCAUGCCUGUUUGAGUGUCAUUAAAUCCUCAACCCCACCGAUUUGCUUCGGGGGGAUUGGACUUGGAGCGUGCUGGCGAAGGUCGGCUCCUCUUUAAAUGCAUCAGCGGAGAAGAAAGCUCGUCCCAGUGUGAUAAUCCUGUUGCGCUGUGGUGGGGUGAAAAUUCCGCUUCCAACCGUCCUCCGGGACAAGACAUCUCAAUUUGACCUCAAAUCAGGUAGGACUACCCGCUGAACUUAAGCAUAUCA